AACGAACGCUGGCGGCGUGGAUAAGACAUGCAAGUCGGACGCUAAUUAGAGUGUAGCAAUAUACUUUAGUUGGAGUGGCGCAAGGGUGCGUAACACGUGGGUAAUCUGCCGUGAAGCCUGGGAUAACUUGCUGAAAGGCGAGCUAAUACCGGAUGUGACUGUUGGGAGGCAACUUCCGACAUUGGAAGCUGGGGACUGUAAAAGGCCUGGCGCUUCACGAUGAGCCCGCGGCCUAUCAGCUAGUUGGAGAGGUAACGGCUCACCAAGGCUAAGACGGGUAGCUGGUCUGAGAGGACGACCAGCCACACUGGAACUGAGACACGGUCCAGACACCUACGGGAGGCUG
rnacentral:rRNA from 1 species